AUAACUCUUGAGAAGUUCUAUAUUUCCCGCUCUCGUUCUAAUAGUUGCUUUGGGAAUCAGCGGUGAGUAGCGGAGAACCUCUGCCCGACAAGCUACGCGUUCGUGUUCACGUUUAGCUCGACUACGACGGGAUUUGCAUUGUCGACGGAGGCGAUGAUCACAGAAUCCUACUUCCAGACUUGCCGCUAGGAUUUAGCGGCAUGAUUUUGGUACCACCUAAAACCCUAGCGUAGUGCAUCUCCCUGUUCAUCUCUGUUGUCACAGACUUCAAGAACUUUCAGAUUACACCAUUUAGGCACGAAUUACAUAAAUAUAUAUAUCCAACUCAACUAGCAGUUUUGAGUACUAAAACUGACAAGUAGCGCCAUCUCGAAUGAACUUAAAAUGGACUCACCCAGUAGUAAAGCGUGCUAUUUAAUUUCUGCUAUUUAGGAACAUACUGUGGGACCUAAAUUAAAUUGUGUUCAAACGUACUCAACAGAUGAUGCCAUAUGCAGUUAAUUUGAGGACAACGUGGGCGGGAAAGAACACGGUCGGAAAGAAUCAGCACAAAACAGCUGCUGAAUGCUCAUCGUACUAAUCCGGACAUAAGUCUUCAAUAAACUCUAGACCUAAAUCAAGAAUAUUACUGCAGUUAAGGUGCAAAGAAAUAUGUCAUCCUUGCCUAACACCUUCAACAUACGAACCACCAGCACGUCUUUUCCACACGGUACCAGGACCGGCUGGUGCGAACCCAUCAGGAUGUCCUGAGAGUUGAAACCAGGACUUGAGUCUGUUCUUAAGUAUAACAUCACUAGCAGGAGCAGUCAGGUCCAAUGCAUUCUGUAAAGCAAAUGGGUAAUCAUCGUGUCUUUUCCGAAGAUACCCACCAGAGCAAGAAACUUCAAAGAGAGAUCUUCAUCAGGCAUCGAGGUAUCCGAAAGAACGAGAGGAAAUUGUUCCAGCUUCCGUACCGUGGCAGGGUCAUUAG